rnacentral:rRNA from 1 species
CCGGCCUGCCCUGUGACUUAGUUUAACGGCCGCGGUAUUUUAACCGUGCAAAGGUAGCAUAAUAAAUUGUUCUUUAAAUAAGGACUAGUAUGAAUGGCACUACGAAGGCUCAACUGUCUCCCCGCUCUAAUCAAUGAAACUGAUCUCCUCGUGAAGAAGCGAGGAUAAAUAUAUAAGACGAGAAGACCCCAUGGAGCUUUAAACUCACCACAAUUAACUAUAAUAAACCACAAAAAAAAGUAAAAAAUGUUCUGAGUAGUUUUUGGCUGGGGCGACCCUGGAGUAAAACAAAACCUCCAGAGUGAACGAAAUAACUUUCUAAUACAAGAACCACAAUUCUAAUAAUCAUAAAACUGACAUUAAUGAUCCAAAUGUUUGAUCAAUGAAAUAAGUUACCCUGGGGAUAACAGCGCAAUCCAUUUCAAGAGCCCCUAUCGACAAAUGGGUUUACGACCUCGAUGUUGGAUCGGGGUACCCCGGUGGCGCAACCGCUACCAAAGGUUCGUUUGUUCAACGAUUAAUAACCCCACGUGAUCU